rnacentral:rRNA from 1 species
AUUGAACGCUGGCGGCAGGCCUAACACAUGCAAGUCGAGCGGAUGAAGGGAGCUUGCUCCUGGAUUCCGCGGCGGACGGGUGAGUAAUGCCUAGGAAUCUGCCUGGUAGUGGGGGAUAACGUCCGGAGACGGGCGCUAAUACCGCAUACGUCCUGAGGGAGAAAGUGGGGGAUCUUCGGACCUCACGCUAUCAGAUGAGCCUAGGUCGGAUUAGCUAGUUGGUGGGGUAAAGGCCUACCAAGGCGACGAUCCGUAACUGGUCUGAGAGGAUGACCAGUCACACUGGAACUGAGACACGGUCCAGACUCCUACGGGAGGCACCAGAGGGGAAUAUUGGGCAAUAGGCGAGAUCAUGAUACAGCCAUGCCGAGUGUGUGGAGAAGGUCUUCGGAUUGUAAAGCACUUUAAGUUGGGAGGAAGGGCAGUAAGUUAAUACCUUGCUGUUUUGACGUUACCAACAGAAUAAGCACCGGCUAACUUCGUG